GAAUGCGUCCAGUAUCAAAAUC
rnacentral:miRNA from 14 species